GAUUAAAUGGCUGAAGUUUAGGCAAUAAAUUGUAAAUUUAUUUAUGGGAUUUAAUCUCUUUAAUCA
rnacentral:tRNA from 1 species